rnacentral:rRNA from 1 species
AUGAACGCUGGCGGCGUGCCUAAUACAUGCAAGUCGCACGAAACUUCUUUAUCACCGAGUGCUUGCACUCACCGAUAAAGAGUUGAGUGGCGAACGGGUGAGUAACACGUGGGCAACCUGCCCAAAAGAGGGGGAUAACACUUGGAAACAGGUGCUAAUACCGCAUAACCAUAGUUACCGCAUGGUAACUAUGUAAAAGGUGGCUAUACUACCGCUUUUGGAUGGGCCCGCGGCGCAUUAGCUAGUUGGUAGGGUAAAGGCUUACCAAGGCAAUGAUGCGUAGCCGAAUUGAGAGGUUGAUCGGCCACAUUGGGACUGAGACACGGCCCAAACUCCUACGGGAGGCAGCAGUAGGGAAUCUUCCACAAUGGGCGAAAGCCUGAUGGAGCAACGCCGCGUGGGUGAAGAAGGUCUUCGGAUCGUAAAACCCUGUUGUUAGAGAAGAAAGUGCGUGAGAGUAACUGUUCACGUUUCGACGGUAUCUAACCAGAAAGCCACGGCUAACUACGUG